rnacentral:lncRNA from 1 species
GCAGGUAUGUCAAGCGCGACGGAGACGCUAUGUGGACAAGCCUACGGAGCACAACAAUAUCACAUGAUGGGGAUCUAUCUACAACGUUCUUGGAUAGUAGACACCUUUACAGCCACCCUCUUUGUCCCUUUCAUAGUCUUUGCUGGUCCCAUUCUUCGGUUACUAGGUCAAAACAUUGAGAUCACAAAGACCGUAGACGAGAUCUACCUUUGGGUCAUCCCUUAUUUAUACAGCCUCGUAUUCACCAUGACAAUGCAAAUGUACCUCCAAGCGCAGAUGAAAAACGCUAUCAUAGGCGUUCUCUCGACCAUAGCCUUGGUCUUGGACAUUGUGGCCACUUGGUGGUUCGUGAGAGUGAUGGGGAUGGGAAUCCAUGGUGCGCUUCUAGGACUUAAUCUAAGCUCGUGGUCAGUGGUUAUAGCCGAGUUUGUGUACGUGUUUGGAGGGUGGUGCCCGCAUACUUGGACCGGCUUUAGCACUGCUGCUUUUGUUGAUCUUAUUCCCAUGCUCAAGUUAUCCAUUUCUUCUGGCUUCAUGAUUUGGUAAUUUUAACUUUUUUCAGGGUAAAACAUGAUGACUAAUAUAAUAAUCGCACUCGACUGACUCUUUUUCUUUAUUUGAACAGCUUGGAGUACUGGUAUAUGAGCAUCAUCGUCUUAAUGUCAGGAUAUACAAAGGAUGCAAAUAUAGCAAUUUCUGCGUUUUCCAUAUGGUAUAACCUAGAAUCCAUUAUGAAAGAAAAUAUGUAAUGUUACUAUACCAUUUGAAAAUUAAAUCCUCAAUUAAUUUUGCAGCCAAUAUACCUACACAUGGGAGUUGAACAUAUGCUUAGGCUUGUUGGGUGCAGCAUGGUAUGUAACUAUAGACACUCAUUUUAAAAAUUCUGUAAUAGAUAUGUACAUAUAUAUAUAUAUAUAUGUUCUGAAUUAAUGCUAUGGUAUAUAUGUGUUGCUAUGUCUAUUAUAUUGCAGCGUAAGAGUAGCAAACGAAUUGGGAAAAGGAGACGCAGAAGCGGUGAGAUUCUCAAUAAAAGUGGUGCUUGUGGUAUCAGCGGUGAUUGGUGUGAUAUGCUCUGCUCUUUGUCUAGCGUUUGGUGGUCAAAUUUCGUAUUUGUUCUCUGAUAGCCACCAAGUUUCAAAGGCAGUAGCUGAUCUCUCCAUCGUCCUUAGCAUAUCCAUACUCUUAAACAUCAUCCAGCCCAUUCUAUCUGGUUAGAAAUGAUCAAACGCUUUUAUUAGGCGUAUUAAUAUAAUUAAGGUGUAUACUUCUAACCACAACUUCUGCAUGUAAACAGGGGUAGCUAUUGGAGCAGGGAUGCAAAGUAUGGUAGCAUUUGUGAACUUGGCAACUUAUUAUGCAAUUGGUGGGGUCUCGCUGCUUAUGCUCUCCUUCAAAGCACUUUCAUUCGUUUCAUCUAUGGUGUUAUGGUAAGCAACUUAUGAUCCAUCGGUUUGAACCAGGUGACCACAUAUCGACAUCACCAUAUAUAUAUAGAAAUCAUGAUAUUUUAGUGCUUUUCAUUAGAAAAGUUACUGUGAACGGAAACAUGCAAAACACAAACAAAAGUGAAAAGAAAACAAUUUUGUCCCGGAAAAAAAAAACUUUUGAAAACACCAAACGUGGUGGUUUAAUUGAAGGUAGGAACAAUGCCGUAAAAUAUAGUAGAUGCACACUGUAAAUGUAAAAAGAGAGUAAUCAAGGGAUUAAUUAGUUUGAACUUCAGAGUUAAGAAGAAAAUUAGUUUGAACUUACUCUAUAAUUAGCGUUUGUGUUUACAAUUUGCAAAUGACUUAUUAGCACAAAACAUUAAAAUGUCAUGGUUUGACAUCUUUAUAACAAUAUAUUUAAGCCAGUGACAAAAAUAAAAUAAAAUAUAACAAUAUAUUUAAGCAAAAAAAAACUAACGAAUGAAUUAUGAUGGAACCAAGAUUGUAUAAUUAAAUUUGCUGGUUCUAUAUAAUGUUUUCUGUUACAGGCAGGUAUGUCAAGCGCGACGGAGACGCUAUGUGGACAAGCCUACGGAGCACAACAAUAUCACAUGAUGGGGAUCUAUCUACAACGUUCUUGGAUAGUAGACACCUUUACAGCCACCCUCUUUGUCCCUUUCAUAGUCUUUGCUGGUCCCAUUCUUCGGUUACUAGGUCAAAACAUUGAGAUCACAAAGACCGUAGACGAGAUCUACCUUUGGGUCAUCCCUUAUUUAUACAGCCUCGUAUUCACCAUGACAAUGCAAAUGUACCUCCAAGCGCAGAUGAAAAACGCUAUCAUAGGCGUUCUCUCGACCAUAGCCUUGGUCUUGGACAUUGUGGCCACUGGGUGGUUCGUGAGAGUGAUGGGGAUGGGAAUCCAUGGUGCGCUUCUAGG